AUUGAACGCUGGCGGCAUGCCUUACACAUGCAAGUCGAACGGCAGCGGACCUUCGGGUGCCGGCGAGUGGCGAACGGGUGAGUAAUGUAUCGGAACGUACCUUUCAGUGGGGGAUAACGUAGCGAAAGUUACGCUAAUACCGCAUAUUCUGUGAGCAGGAAAGCAGGGGAUCGCAAGACCUUGCGCUGAUUGAGCGGCCGAUAUCAGAUUAGCUAGUUGGUGAGGUAAAGGCUCACCAAGGCGACGAUCUGUAGCGGGUCUGAGAGGAUGAUCCGCCACACUGGAACUGAGACACGGUCCAGACUCCUACGGGAGGCAGCAGUGGGGAAGUUUGGACAAUGGGGGCAACCCUGAUCCAGCCAUGCCGCGUGAGUGAAGAAGGCCUUCGGGUUGUAAAGCUCUUUCGUCCGGGAAGAAAUCGCAUCAGCUAAUACCUGGUGUGGAUGACGGUACCGGAAUAAGAAGCACCGGCCAACUACGUGCCAGCCGCCGCAGUAAUAC
rnacentral:rRNA from 1 species